UUUAAGUUCUCCUGUUUUCUUUCUCAGUUCUUUUCUCAGCAGAUGUCAGGCAGAUUUUGGCUUUAAAAUGACUUUCACUGUUUUAUUUUGGUGAUGUUACAUUUAUUUUCAAGGAAGUAUUUUCAUUUUAUUUUUUAUAGUGCCGUUCUUAUUUUUAUUUUUAUCUAACAUGAAAGAGAUAUAAUAUUGUGUUUCCAUUACUACCAAACUAGAUUCUAAAUUUGGCAAAAGCUUAGAAAGAAUCUGUAAUUUUCAAUGUCAGGUAAUCAGUUUGACAGACAGGUGAGGUGACAGACCGUGCACCGCCCGAUAAUAAGGCAGAAGCACCACAUCUGUCUGAAAAUCACUUCAAAGUUCAGUUGACAGUGUUUUAAAUGUUCUAACACGGUCACGUUUAAUCUCAGGAAGUACUAUGAUCAUACUGAUGAUCAUACUAAUGAUGAUCAUACUGAUGAUCAUACUAAUGAUCAUACAUGGUAGUGUUUUGUGAAAACUGAUUGGUGUUUUUAGGAAGGCAAACUUCGCUUUUUUGGAUGUCAUUGUGUAUAUACAAUGACACACUAACAUACAGUGUAAGACAAUUAGACAACAGCAGAAAUAGUACGCUGAGAUUUGCAAAGUUAGUGAUGAAUUCAGUUAGCCAAAACCAAAAAUAAAAGAUUGGUCUUAUUUUAAAACAGGAAUACAGCACACAGCUCCCUGCUGAAUCCAUUCAGAUUGUCGAAGAUGGUAUGGUUAGCUUGAUGUGAUAAAAAAAAAUGUGGCAAAUAAAUGUAUUUUUUCCAUUAGCAGGAUGAACAAGAAAGAAAUGCCAGAAAAGAAAACGUUACGGAUUCCAACCCAGAAAAUGAAGGUCUGAGAGAACACCCCUCAACGGAAUGAGCAAUCUAAUCCAGACCAGGUCUGAGAGCUUCAGACUCUUUGAAACCUCAGUGGAGAGAGACUUCACCAUAUCCCAUCUUCACCAUCAGGCCAGCAGGAGCUCUUCCCUGGGUGUGGUGUGUUCGAGUCAUCGUUCUGCCUUGCUGCCAUGAACCACACAUCUAAACCACAUCGCAUGCAUCAGUUUCAUGCACUGUCCAAUCAUGUCGUCACUGUUGGAGUAUCAAAAUCCCUUUUGGUGUUCCUGGAAAUGAUCCCUCCGGAAAAGAAGGAAAGCGGAUCUGUCAACGCAAUCCUAACUUGUGUCCUGAGAUGUGCCACUCCACCUGGUUGGGAAAAAUUGUGGAGGUCAAGCUCAAGAAAGCGUUUGUCAGCAAAUGUACGGCCAGAGCAGGUUCUAAGCAGUAGGCCACUGCUAUGAUCUACAGUAUGUGGACUGGUUACUCUUUCAUCCUUUAUUUAUUUUUUGUUUUUAAUUUUCGUGGACCAUGAGUUUUAAUACAGUUCCUGCCAAGUGUGUUCUAGGAUUUGGAAGCAUGUAAGUUCUGUCGUUUCAAAGCCAAGUGAGAUUCUUCCUUGUACCUCAGCAGUGCUGUCAGUGUGUUUGUUGUUUAGAAUCUAGAAGUAUUCAUUAUCACCACGUCGGCCACAUUGAAUACGCCACAGUUCAUGUACUUAAUGCAAUUACAUGAAAAAAGUUUGAAAAAUUUGGAUCUCCGGGUAUAAUAUGACACAAUUUUGUGAAUGUAUUUCUGGUUUUACCCAAAAUAGUUCAUUAAGAAGCCUGGUGGUCUUAACUCUUGUGCUAUCCUGGAUAUGUUUACAUUAAAAGUGGGGUCAUCUGGACCCCACAAGACAGCGCGCUGAAGUUUUUUUUCCAAGGAUUUUUAAUCUUGUCAGUUGUCCGUGGCUGACAUAAGAUCCUGUCCACAUUUGUUAUGGGAGAGAUCACACAUCAAUGUAAUGGUAGGGUCAUCUUGACCCCAUAAGAGAGCACAAGGGUUAAAGUACCUUUAAAUUAUUAAAAAAAAUAGUUUUGUUAAAACCGACUUUUCAACAAGGGGGUUAGUAAACAAUGUCAGAGCUUGUAUUUAAUUUAUUGUUGUAUCUCAUUUAUGUUUUAUAUUUCUGUAUUUUGUUUAAAAAAUGUAAAGAGUCUAAUGCUAUUAUCCCAAUACAAAUGUUGUACUGAUGGUGCUGGUCAAAUCCCAAAUAAAAUGUAACAUUUACA